CAACUUUCAGCAAUGGAUCUCUUGGCUCUCGCAUCGAUGAAGAACGCAGCGAAUAGCGAUAUGUAAUGUGAAUUGCAGAUCUACAGUGAAUCAUCGAAUCUUUGAACGCACCUUGCGCUCCUCGGUGUUCCGAGGAGCAUGCCUGUUUGAGCGUCAGUAA
rnacentral:rRNA from 2 species